rnacentral:rRNA from 1 species
UUAAGCGACUAAGCGUACACGGUGGAUGCCCUGGCAGUCAGAGGCGAUGAAGGACGUGCUAAUCUGCGAUAAGCGUCGGUAAGGUGAUAUGAACCGUUAUAACCGGCGAUUUCCGAAUGGGGAAACCCAGUGUGUUUCGACACACUAUCAUUAACUGAAUCCAUAGGUUAAUGAGGCGAACCGGGGGAACUGAAACAUCUAAGUACCCCGAGGAAAAGAAAUCAACCGAGAUUCCCCCAGUAGCGGCGAGCGAACGGGGAGCAGCCCAGAGCCUGAAUCAGUGUGUGUGUUAGUGGAAGCGUCUGGAAAGGCGCGCGAUACAGGGUGACAGCCCCGUACACAAAAAUGCACAUGCUGUGAGCUCGAUGAGUAGGGCGGGACACGUGGUAUCCUGUCUGAAUAUGGGGGGACCAUCCUCCAAGGCUAAAUACUCCUGACUGACCGAUAGUGAACCAGUACCGUGAGGGAAAGGCGAAAAGAACCCCGGCGAGGGGAGUGAAAAAGAACCUGAAACCGUGUACGUACAAGCAGUGGGAGCACGCUUAGGCGUGUGACUGCGUACCUUUUGCAUAAUGGGUCAGCGACUUAUAUUCUGUAGCAAGGUUAACCGAAUAGGGGAGCCGAAGGGAAACCGAGUCUUAACUGGGCGUUAAGUUGCAGGGUAUAGACCCGAAACCCGGUGAUCUAGCCAUGGGCAGGUUGAAGGUUGGGUAACACUAACUGGAGGACCGAACCGACUAAUGUUGAAAAAUUAGCGGAUGACUUGUGGCUGGGGGUGAAAGGCCAAUCAAACCGGGAGAUAGCUGGUUCUCCCCGAAAGCUAUUUAGGUAGCGCCUCGUGAAUUCAUCUCCGGGGGUAGAGCACUGUUUCGGCAAGGGGGUCAUCCCGACUUACCAACCCGAUGCAAACUGCGAAUACCGGAGAAUGUUAUCACGGGAGACACACGGCGGGUGCUAACGUCCGUCGUGAAGAGGGAAACAACCCAGACCGCCAGCUAAGGUCCCAAAGUCAUGGUUAAGUGGGAAACGAUGUGGGAAGGCCCAGACAGCCAGGAUGUUGGCUUAGAAGCAGCCAUCAUUUAAAGAAAGCGUAAUAGCUCACUGGUCGAGUCGGCCUGCGCGGAAGAUGUAACGGGGCUAAACCAUGCACCGAAGCUGCGGCAGCGACACUAUGUGUUGUUGGGUAGGGGAGCGUUCUGUAAGCCUGUGAAGGUGUGCUGUGAGGCAUGCUGGAGGUAUCAGAAGUGCGAAUGCUGACAUAAGUAACGAUAAAGCGGGUGAAAAGCCCGCUCGCCGGAAGACCAAGGGUUCCUGUCCAACGUUAAUCGGGGCAGGGUGAGUCGACCCCUAAGGCGAGGCCGAAAGGCGUAGUCGAUGGGAAACAGGUUAAUAUUCCUGUACUUGGUGUUACUGCGAAGGGGGGACGGAGAAGGCUAUGUUGGCCGGGCGACGGUUGUCCCGGUUUAAGCGUGUAGGCUGGUUUUCCAGGCAAAUCCGGAAAAUCAAGGCUGAGGCGUGAUGACGAGGCACUACGGUGCUGAAGCAACAAAUGCCCUGCUUCCAGGAAAAGCCUCUAAGCAUCAGGUAACAUCAAAUCGUACCCCAAACCGACACAGGUGGUCAGGUAGAGAAUACCAAGGCGCUUGAGAGAACUCGGGUGAAGGAACUAGGCAAAAUGGUGCCGUAACUUCGGGAGAAGGCACGCUGAUAUGUAGGUGAGGUCCCUCGCGGAUGGAGCUGAAAUCAGUCGAAGAUACCAGCUGGCUGCAACUGUUUAUUAAAAACACAGCACUGUGCAAACACGAAAGUGGACGUAUACGGUGUGACGCCUGCCCGGUGCCGGAAGGUUAAUUGAUGGGGUUAGCGCAAGCGAAGCUCUUGAUCGAAGCCCCGGUAAACGGCGGCCGUAACUAUAACGGUCCUAAGGUAGCGAAAUUCCUUGUCGGGUAAGUUCCGACCUGCACGAAUGGCGUAAUGAUGGCCAGGCUGUCUCCACCCGAGACUCAGUGAAAUUGAACUCGCUGUGAAGAUGCAGUGUACCCGCGGCAAGACGGAAAGACCCCGUGAACCUUUACUAUAGCUUGACACUGAACAUUGAGCCUUGAUGUGUAGGAUAGGUGGGAGGCUUUGAAGUGUGGACGCCAGUCUGCAUGGAGCCGACCUUGAAAUACCACCCUUUAAUGUUUGAUGUUCUAACGUUGACCCGUAAUCCGGGUUGCGGACAGUGUCUGGUGGGUAGUUUGACUGGGGCGGUCUCCUCCUAAAGAGUAACGGAGGAGCACGAAGGUUGGCUAAUCCUGGUCGGACAUCAGGAGGUUAGUGCAAUGGCAUAAGCCAGCUUGACUGCGAGCGUGACGGCGCGAGCAGGUGCGAAAGCAGGUCAUAGUGAUCCGGUGGUUCUGAAUGGAAGGGCCAUCGCUCAACGGAUAAAAGGUACUCCGGGGAUAACAGGCUGAUACCGCCCAAGAGUUCAUAUCGACGGCGGUGUUUGGCACCUCGAUGUCGGCUCAUCACAUCCUGGGGCUGAAGUAGGUCCCAAGGGUAUGGCUGUUCGCCAUUUAAAGUGGUACGCGAGCUGGGUUUAGAACGUCGUGAGACAGUUCGGUCCCUAUCUGCCGUGGGCGCUGGAGAACUGAGGGGGGCUGCUCCUAGUACGAGAGGACCGGAGUGGACGCAUCACUGGUGUUCGGGUUGUCAUGCCAAUGGCACUGCCCGGUAGCUAAAUGCGGAAGAGAUAAGUGCUGAAAGCAUCUAAGCACGAAACUUGCCCCGAGAUGAGUUCUCCCUGACUCCUUGAGAGUCCUGAAGGAACGUUGAAGACGACGACGUUGAUAGGCCGGGUGUGUAAGCGCAGCGAUGCGUUGAGCUAACCGGUACUAAUGAACCGUGAGGCUUAACCUU